rnacentral:rRNA from 1 species
CAGUAGCCACGGGAAUACGGAGGGCGCGAGCGUUACCCGGAUUUACUGGGCGUAAAGGGCGUGUAGGCGGCCUGGGGCGUCCCAUGUGAAAGGCCACGGCUCAACCGUGGAGGAGCGUGGGAUACGCUCAGGCUAGAGGGUGGGAGAGGGUGGUGGAAUUCCCGGAGUAGCGGUGAAAUGCGCAGAUACCGGGAGGAACGCCGAUGGCGAAGGCAGCCACCUGGUCCACUUCUGACGCUGAGGCGCGAAAGCGUGGGGAGCAAACUGGAUUAGAUACCCGCGUAGUCCCUGUCUCUUAUAC